rnacentral:lncRNA from 1 species
GUUACUUUGUAGCCGAUCCAUCAUCAAAGAUGGCCGCCAGCAGGGGACUUAGUUUAACAUAGGACCCUAUGGGAAAUGCAUACAAAUGACUUCUUCUAGAGAACCACUGAAUGGAAUAAAACCAAACAUAGCAUGAAUGUUCCUUAUGGGGUGCUGACCAAGUGUUGUUACUUUGUAGCCGAUCCAUCAUCCAAGAUGGCCGCUAGCGGGGGACUUAGUUUAACAUAGGACCCUAUGGGAAAUGCAUACAAAUGACUUCUUUUAGAGAACCACUGAAUGGAAUGAAACCAAACAUGGCAUGAAUGUUCCUUAUGAGGUGCUGACCAAGUGUUGUUACUUUGUUGCUGAUACAUCAUCCAAGAUAGCUGCCAGCCGGGGACUUAUUUUAACAUAGGACCCUAUGAGAAAUGCAUACAAAUGACUUCUUUUAGAGAACCACUGAAUGGAAUAAAACCAAACAUAGCAUGAAUGUUCCUUAUGGGAUGCUGACCAAGUGUUGUUACUUUGUAGCCGAUCCAUCUUCCAAGAUGGCCGCCAGCGGGGGACUUAGUUUAACAUAGGACCCUAUGGGAAAUGCAUACAAAUGACUUCUUCUAGAGAACCACUAAAUGGAAUGAAACCAAACAUAGCAUGAAUGUUCCUUAUGGAGUGCUGACCAAGUGUUGUUACUUUGUAGCUGAUCCAUUAUCCAAGAAGGCCGCCAGCGGGGGACUUAGUUUAACAUAGGACCCUAUUGGAAAUGCAUACAAAUCACUUCUUCUAGUGAACCACUGAAUGGAAUGAAACCAAACAUGGCAUGAAUGUUCCUUAUGUGGUGCUGACCAAGUGUUGUUACUUUGUAGCUGAUCCAUCAUCCAAGAUGGCCGCCAGCCGGGGACUUAGUUUAACAUAGGACCCUAUGGGAAAUGCAUACAAAUGACUUCUUUUAGAGAACCACUGAAUGGAAUGAAAUCAAACAUGGCAUGAAUGUUCCUAAUGUGGUGCUGACCAAGUGUUGUUACUUUGUAGCCGAUCCAUUAUCCAAGAUUGCCGCCAGCGGGGGACUUAGUUUAACAUAGGACCCUAUGGCAAAUGCAUACAAAUGACUUCUUUUAGAGAACCACUGAAUGGAAUAAAACCAAACAUUGCAUGAAUGUUCCUUAUGAGGUGCUGACGAAGUGUUGUUACUUUGUAGCCGAUCCAUCAUCCAAGAUGGCCGCCAGCAGGGGACUUAGUUUAACAUAGGACCCUAUGGGAAAUGCAUACAAAUGACUUCUUUUAGAGAACCACUGAAUGGAAUAAAACCAAACAUGGCAUGAAUGUUCCUUAUGAGGUGCUGACCAAGUGUUGUUACUUUGUAGCCGAUCCGUCAUCCAAGAUGGCCGCCAGUGGGGGACUUUUGAAUGAAAUUAAACAUGUUCCUUUCCUUAUAAAUGAGGUUGUGUUGUCACUUUUAGCCAAAUUUUAUAUUUUUUUAUAUGAUUUCAAAAACCCAAGUAGAAUCAGGUGAGCGAUACAGGCUCUUGAGAGCCUCUAGUUAAUAAUUAUUUUAGAUUU